UUCAUGCACAUCUUUUAAAAAAAUAAAAGUUCUACUAACCACCAAUACUUUUAUAUUUAUGUUUUUAUGAUCAUUUUGAUGAGUUAUAAAGACAUACACAACACUUAAAUAUACGAAAGAGUAAUUCCAAUUAAAAAAAGGGGGGUUUUCACAUUAUAAAUUGAACUUAUAAUUUUCUAUUUUUUCAUGCAAAUGUGGAGAAAUAUGGCUGGAAUUUUAAAGUUUGUUUAUGUUAUAUUUAUUUUUCUUUUCAUAUGUAUCAGUAUGGCUGAAGCUUUUGAUAAUGUUUGCCUAGUUGAUGAAGAUUGUCCUAUAUCUAUCUGUAUGCGAUCUAAAAUUCGAAAGUGCAUACACUUGUUUUGCUAUUGUGUGUCAAGGCCCAAGGGGUAGGCCAGCUAGGCAAUUGCCCAGGGUUUCAAAUGUUUUUACAAAUUAACAAUUUAGUAUUAAUGUUCACAUGUUCUCUCUAUGUGAGUUUUAUUCAGUUAUUAUUUUAUUGUAAUUUUAAUUCUCUAAUAAACCUGCUCCAUUUAGUUAA